GCCUGGCUGGCUCAGUAGAGUAUGUGAUUCUUAAUCUCAGGGUUGUGAGUUCAAGCCUCACACUGGGUG
rnacentral:tRNA from 1 species